GCCAAUCAAUGGGGCCUGCCUGCCUGCCUGGGUCGAUAUGAUGAUCUUAUGGCUGACUGUUCCCCAGACGACAAGCGUUACAGAACCACCCACCACCAAAGGACCAAGCAGCGUGGUGACGAGAUGCAGCGAUACCUGGAGAACUGGACUUGGGAAUUGGACAGCAAAGGACCCUGGGCACAAGCUGGGGAAUAUCGCCGCCCCAAGGCAGAGCUGGAGGCAGCGAAAGCGGAGAGGCGUCGGUAUGAGGAGGCAGCACGGCAGCGCGGCUGGAUGCCCGAGAGGCAGCCCCAAAAAUGUAUUGGGGGGGCACACAGGGAGUCUGGCGAAGUCAGGUAGGAGACCUGCGCGAGAGGGACCGGGCGGCACCGUGUUAUGCGGCACGUGCAUAGCCUGGUGCAGUGCAUUGCAGCCUCUCGUAUCGGCCGGGCUAGAGUGGGCAUCGAGCCAGGUGCCAUGAAGCCGGCUCAGCGCGUCUGGUCUCCAGUGUGUAUCCCCGGGCCGGUGUUUUUUUUAUUUUUUUUAUUUUUUAUUUAUCCGUUAUUUUACCAGGUAAGUUGACUGAGAACACGUUCUCAUUUGCAGCAACGACCUGGGGAAUAGUUACAGGGGAGAGGAAGGGGAUGAAUGAGCCAAUUGUAAACUGUAAACUGGGGAUUAUUAGGUGACCAUGAUGGUUUGAGGGCCAGAUUGGGAAUUUAGCCAGGACACCAGGGUUAACGCCCCUACUCUUACGAUAAGUGCCAUGGGAUCUUUAAUGACCUCAGAGAGUCAGGCCCCCCGUUAACGUCCCAUCCGAAAGACCGCACCCUACACAGGACAGUGUAGGGGCCCUGGGGCAUUGGGAUAUUUUUUUUAGACCAGAGGAAAGAGUGCCUCCUACUGGCCCUCCAACACCACUUCCAGCAGCAUCUGGUCUCCCAUCCAGGAACUGACCAGGACCAACCCUGCUUAGCUUCAGAAGCAAGCCAGCAGUGGUAUGCAUCCUUACGCAUGGAGUCCGCACCAGGCUGUCUCUCCAUCUUCUCCCUACAGGUGCUCCCGUCUGUCCUGAGCUGCCAGGUACUCCCGCCUGUC
ensembl:lncRNA